GGAGGACUUUUAUUUUGGAAAACACAUGUCCUCAAUGAGACCAGUGGCCAGUACUUUAGUCACUGAGGCCUAUCCUUUCUCAAUUCAUCUUUCCUCGAUUAUCUCGCAUCCUCUCUCCUCACCUCCUCAACUGUAUUGGAGGAGAAUAUCUAAAGUCCCUCCCCUCAGACCUUCUCCUCCAAUGAGUUUUGAGAAGAAGCUGAGGAGAGAGAAUGCAAAGACUCGAGGACUGAUGAAUUGAGAAAAAAAAUCCAGGUUUCUCUGCUGCUCUCAUUAACACUAGCAUCGCUGGGCCUCGGGCACGUACCAGUGGAGGGUCUACAUUUGAAACAGUCUAUAAAUCCAUUUAAGGACAUGGGUUUUCAAAAUAAAAGUCAUCUGAAAUUGUGCUCCAAAUGUGCUUUUCAACGUCUCACUAGUCAUGACUGAAUUUGUAGUGCUUCAUUUAGUGAUACAGCCUUCAUAAAGCUUCUCUAGGUUAACGCCAUAUAUGAAGACAGUAAUGAUAUAUAUAAUGAUGUGUUACAUCGUGUUGCCCUCUUUAGGUAGCCUAGUGGUUAGAGCAUUGGGCCCGUAACUGAAAGGUUGCUAGAUCGAAUCCCUGAGCGGACAAGGUAAAAAUCUGUCAUUCUGCCCCUGAGCAAGGCAGUUAACCCACUGUUCCCCUGAACAAGGCAGUUAACCCACUGUUCCCCUGAGCAAGGCAGUUAACCCACUGUUCCCCUGAGCAAGGCAGUUAACCCACUGUUCCCUGGGCGCCGUGGAUGUCGAUUAAGGCAGCCCCCCGCACCUCUCUGAUUCACAGGGGUUAAAUGCGGAAGACACAUAUCAGUUGAAGGCAUUCAGUUGUACAACUGACUAGGUAUCCCCCUUUCCAUUAUUGCCAUCGUGGUUAUUAUUUGACCCUGCUGGUCAUCUAUGAACGAUCUGGCCUUAAUGGUCACAUGGACUCUUAAAUCUCUAUCCGGCACAGCCAGAAGAGGUCUGGUCACCCAUCAGAGCCUGGUUCCUCUCUACCCAGUACAGCCAGAAGAGGACUGGCCACCCAUCAGAGCCUGGUUCCUCUCUACCCGACACAGCCAGAAGAGGACUGGUCCCGCCUCGGCGCCUGGUUCCUCUCUACCAGACACAGCCAGAAGAGGACUGGUCCCGCCUCGGCGCCUGGUUCCUCUCUACCAGACACAGCCAGAAGAGGACUGGUCACGCCUCGGUGCCUGGUUCCUCUACCAGACACAGCCAGAAGAGGACUGGUCCCGCCUCAGCGCCUGGUUCCUCUCUACCCGACACAGCCAGAAGAGGACUGGCCACCCAUCAGAGCCCUGCUUCCUCUCUAGGUUUCUUCCUAGGUUUCUGCCUUUCAAGGGAGCUUUUCCUAGUCCCUUUGCUUCUGCCUCUGCAUUGCUUGUUCUUUGUGGUUAUAGGCAGGGUAUCUGCAGGGCACUUUGUGACACCUGCUGAUGUGAAAAAGGGCUUAAUAACAUACACAUGAUUUGAUGUGACACAAUGUGACCAUGUCAGUAAAUGUUAUGACAAUAAAUGCCAACUGUGUGAUGUGUUGUUCUUUGCUUGGGGUUCUCUGAGGAGUGAUUUACCAGACGCAGAUUAAGCCUAGUCCUUGUUUAAAAAGCAUUCUCAAUGGAGAAUUUAUAGUGAAAAAGUGCUUUUUUAGUCCAGCACUGGGCUUGAUCUGUGUCUGGGAAACCGCCCCCAGAGACUUUUAACAUGUGGAGUGUAGAAAUGCUAAAAUAAAAUGAAUGAAUACCUGUCUUGGUGGCAAUUUUGGGGAUUAUUUCGGUUGUCCAAGAUGAGGCCUAUCCAGCAGUACAAUUAUCCUUAAAAAAUAAAGACGUUUAAAAAUGUUGAGCUUACCAAGUAGUUUAGACACAUACCUUUUCAAGAAAUGUCUUAGAUUUAAAUAUAAAGUCAAGAAGUCCUGCCGAAUUGCGCCUGUAAAUCGCUCUGGAUAAGAGCAUCUGAUAAAUGUAUCUCCUUUUUACACCAAUACUACUGUACGCCGAAUAGUAUACUGCUCUACCGACUAGUAGGCCGUCAUUAUAAAUAAUAAUUUGUUAUUAACUGACUUGCCUAGUUAAAUAAAGGUUAAAUAUAAAUAAAUCAUAAUAAAAACAAUCCAAACAGAGUGAAAGAAGCGCAAAGACUGCGCAUACGUGAUGCUCGUGAACACACCUUUUUCCUCAUACAGGCGGAAGUUUACAGUUGGAUUCCCCGACCCUCCUCCAUGUCAAAUAAUUGAAGAAAACCUAUCCCAGGUAAUCUGUAUAACGUUGAAAUUUGUACCCAACAUCCUAUAUCAGUGUUUAAGCUACUAGAACGACUACCAGCCAGGGAAGCGUCAGGUCGAGCUAACUAGGAUGCGCCUAUGGCUUUUUCCCCACGUCCUCCACCUAGUCAGUAGCCACAGAGGAUGUAUAAUCUACAACAUGUGAAGGCUAUUCCCGUCUCAGUAACUAGCUAACCUUAACUAGAUCAGUGACCGUUGUUGUUUUUCCUCCAAUGUUCUGCAAGCAGCGAACUAGCAAGCGUAGACUCAUAUCUGAUACAAUAACGGCGUUAGAUAGCUAGACGUCAGUGUGUUUUCUGAAUAGAUCGAUCGAUCGAUCACAUAUCUCCUCUUCAUAUUUAAGACUGUGGCACCAUGUCUGAUCCGGAAUCCCCGGAUGCUAGUGACCCGGCCCAGAGACGUCCAGAGAUGACGUCAGGGAAGCUGGAAGACUGCAGUCAAACACUGGAACUCGGUGUGGCUGUCAAAGAUGAUGAUGGUAAUGACGAGGAGGAGGCUGAUGAAGAGGAAGAGGAUAGCGAUGAUGUAGACUCUGGUAAAUUCAGUUGUUGAGUCAAGUCAAUAUUGGGCUACAAUAAACUCUACUGUGCUGUGUAGCCUCUUCAUAGCCUGACUGACAGCCUGUUUCCCCUAUAUUGCCAACUCCUUAUGGAGUGUGAUUUGACAAGAGCACUACUGUCUGUUUUCAGUCAGGCUAGCUUAUUCAUAGUGCUGAUGGUCUUUCAUCAACACUACUGUCUGUUUUCAGUCAAGCUAGUUUAUUCAUAGUGCUGAUGGUCUUUCAUCAACACUACUGUCUGUUUUCAGUCAAGCUAGUUUAUUCAUAGUGCUGAUGGUCUUUCAUCAACACUACUGUCUGUUUUCAGUCAGGCUAGCUUAUUCAUAGUGCUGAUGGUCUUUCAUCAACACUACUGUCUGUUUUCAGUCAGGCUAGUUUAUUCAUAGUGCUGAUGGUCUUUCAUCA
rnacentral:lncRNA from 13 species